rnacentral:rRNA from 1 species
UACGGGGGGGGCAAGCGUUGUUCGGAAUUACUGGGCGUAAAGGGCUCGUAGGCGGCCAACUAAGUCAGACGUGAAAUCCCUCGGCUUAACCGGGGAACUGCAUCUGAUACUGGAUGGCUUGAGGUUGGGAGAGGGAUGCGGAAUUCCAGGUGUAGCGGUGAAAUGCGUAGAUAUCUGGAGGAACACCGGUGGCGAAGGUGGCAUCCUGGACCAAUUCUGACGCUGAGUGAGCGAAAGCCAGGGGAGCAAAGCGGG